rnacentral:rRNA from 1 species
AGAGUUUGAUCAUGGCUCAGAUUGAACGCUGGCGGCAGGCCUAACACAUGCAAGUCGAGCGGAAACGAGUUAACUGAACCUUCGGGGGACGAUAACGGCGUCGAGCGGCGGACGGGUGAGUAAUGCCUAGGAAAUUGCCCUGAUGUGGGGGAUAACCAUUGGAAACGAUGGCUAAUACCGCAUGAUGCCUACGGGCCAAAGAGGGGGACCUUCGGGCCUCUCGCGUCAGGAUAUGCCUAGGUGGGAUUAGCUAGUUGGUGAGGUAAGGGCUCACCAAGGCGACGAUCCCUAGCUGGUCUGAGAGGAUGAUCAGCCACACUGGAACUGAGACACGGUCCAGACUCCUACGGGAGGCAGCAGUGGGGAAUAUUGCACAAUGGGCGCAAGCCUGAUGCAGCCAUGCCGCGUGUGUGAAGAAGGCCUUCGGGUUGUAAAGCACUUUCAGUCGUGAGGAAGGUAGUGUAGUUAAUAGCUGCAUUAUUUGACGUUAGCGACAGAAGAAGCACCGGCUAACUCCGUGCCAGCAGCCGCGGUAAUACGGAGGGUGCGAGCGUUAAUCGGAAUUACUGGGCGUAAAGCGCAUGCAGGUGGUUUGUUAAGUCAGAUGUGAAAGCCCGGGGCUCAACCUCGGAAUAGCAUUUGAAACUGGCAGACUAGAGUACUGUAGAGGGGGGUAGAAUUUCAGGUGUAGCGGUGAAAUGCGUAGAGAUCUGAAGGAAUACCGGUGGCGAAGGCGGCCCCCUGGACAGAUACUGACACUCAGAUGCGAAAGCGUGGGGAGCAAACAGGAUUAGAUACCCUGGUAGUCCACGCCGUAAACGAUGUCUACUUGGAGGUUGUGGCCUUGAGCCGUGGCUUUCGGAGCUAACGCGUUAAGUAGACCGCCUGGGGAGUACGGUCGCAAGAUUAAAACUCAAAUGAAUUGACGGGGGCCCGCACAAGCGGUGGAGCAUGUGGUUUAAUUCGAUGCAACGCGAAGAACCUUACCUACUCUUGACAUCCAGAGAACUUUCCAGAGAUGGAUUGGUGCCUUCGGGAACUCUGAGACAGGUGCUGCAUGGCUGUCGUCAGCUCGUGUUGUGAAAUGUUGGGUUAAGUCCCGCAACGAGCGCAACCCUUAUCCUUGUUUGCCAGCGAGUAAUGUCGGGAACUCCAGGGAGACUGCCGGUGAUAAACCGGAGGAAGGUGGGGACGACGUCAAGUCAUCAUGGCCCUUACGAGUAGGGCUACACACGUGCUACAAUGGCGCAUACAGAGGGCGGCCAACUUGCGAAAGUGAGCGAAUCCCAAAAAGUGCGUCGUAGUCCGGAUUGGAGUCUGCAACUCGACUCCAUGAAGUCGGAAUCGCUAGUAAUCGUGGAUCAGAAUGCCACGGUGAAUACGUUCCCGGGCCUUGUACACACCGCCCGUCACACCAUGGGAGUGGGCUGCAAAAGAAGUAGGUAGUUUAACCUUCGGGG